UAGUACAUAAUAAUAUAAUCUCAAUAAUAAUAAUUAUUAUUAUUCAUCCAUACAUCUUGAAUCUUGAAUUAUAUCUGAAAUCUGAAAAAAAAGUAUGUUUUUAUUAAAACCACUUGUGAGAUAUGAAUAUGCAAUUGUAUAAUAUGCAAUAUUGCGGUUACCUGUCUUAUCAGAAUUGAUAAGUGAUAAAAGUACGGGAGCUAUCAGCUUCACAGACAUCAUUCCGUGAACGUCGCAUUUUCGCAAGUCUUUUGGUUUUUCAUGUUUUUAUAAUGUAUAUUUUAAAGGUAAUUUUAAGGUUUUGUAAGGCCUUCAGUGCCAUUGAUUGUCUGUAUUGUUAACCGUUCGUAUGUAGAAGGCGAUACUAAUAAUGCCUUCGUUCUUCGUUUGAUUUUCAUCUGCCGUUCCUGUUUGAUUCUCAGCUUGCAGCGUGUUUGCAGCUGCGGCCGAAGCCAACGGUGCCACACAAGUGCAUUUUCCAUUUGUAUUGUACAAAUUGAAUUUGUGUUCUAUUGAUUUGUUGGGAGUUUGCUGUUCUUACGUUUUCUAGCGAUGAGCAUUGAGCAUUAGUAUUGUGUAUUUUGUUCGUCUUCUGAAUGUGGCUAAGUGGUCACUUAGAUUAAAUCUACCACUCAACACAGUCCCUUCUUUAUUAAAAUUAUAGUACUACAAUUUAAGCCUGGCCAAAUAAUCGUUUGGCAAAAAAAUUGAGAAUCUAUCUUGCAAAUCCGAAUAAAUUUGAUUUCAUAUUUUAUGAACAUUGAGUCCUAUCUCAAAACAUUUGUAAUAUUACUAAAACUACUGAGUGUAUUUUUAAAAAAAGAACAUUUUUCAAAAAGCAUAUUUUCUAAAACCCAAGACGAUGUAUGAAUAUUAUUCACGGAAUAAGAAUAUUUCAACGAUAAAUGUGGAGAAUUCAGAAAUAUUAUACGCUGACUCUGUAAAGUUAUCAGUUGAUGAUUCAGACACGGACGAAAAUUACGACAUAUUACUAUUAUUAUCUGACGGCGUAUGGCGUUAUUCUUCGACGGGAAAGACUUUGAUGUCGCACAGCCUUGAUGUCACAUCUCUCACAGUUACAACCCAUCGACUGGCUAUGUACUGUUCUGGCCACGCACAGAACUGUAGUACUAUACAAGCUACACACUUCCGGUACAGUGGUACAACUCGAAUAGAUAACCGUAGUCCUGGACAUGUUAGUGUUUAUUUAAGGUCAAUAUUUAGGGAAACUGGCCGCGUGUGAGUGCAGUUGCCGGUUGUACACAUGUGCAGCAGUGGCGUCGUGUUUCGUAAAAAAUUGGCAUUGCUCAAAUAAAUAAUACUCAAUUUAUUGAAAACGCUGUUGCCAAUGGACAUAUAAAGAGUUUGGCGUUUGCUGAAAGUCGGGGGUACCCAUGGACACAAAACAUUUAUGUACCUGCAGGAAAAUGGGUGCCCAUGGGACAUAUCCACAUGUGAGGCGACCGCGGCAUGGGGGAACAUCGAUGUACUUCGGUAUGCUCACGAGCGCGGUUGUCCCUGGAAUUCAGCCACGUGUCGGGAAGCCGUGGCCCACAGCCACCUAACGUGUCCGUAGUACGCACUUGAAAAUGGUUGCCUAUUGGACAGUAUGACAUGUGAAGAUGCUGCAGCCAGUGGCUAUCUCAGCUGUCUAGUGUAUGAACUCAACAACAGCAGCCUUUAGGUUAUGUUGGAGAUUGUCACAGAGGCUCACUGUACACGCUUUGGUGUCGUAUACAACUCACAAAUACAUUGAACUUUAAAGAUUUUUAGGGCCCAACAAUAUCGCAAGGUAGGAGUUUGAUAAACGCUGCGGAUCAUGUUGUACGAACAACGGCUUUAGUUUGUGCUGCCGUGCAUACUAAUGUGGCACCAAUAAUUAACCAAUAUAAUAUGACAACUAUGUUUUCGUCUUCGACGUCAAGCCCUGUUCCUCAAACUGUUCAGGAAAAUUCUUUUUGUCGUUAUCAUGGAUAUGAAUUGAUAAGAAUAUUGGAUCGUCCUUUUGCUCAUGAUGGAUCUAGUCAUCCUGCAUUCAAGUUGCAAAAGGCAAGACUUCAAGGGAGAGUAAUACAAUGCGUAAUACAAUGCAUAAACGCCAAAGCUUACAUUUAUUCGGAAUUGAUGGUGACAUUAAAUGAUAUAGUCCAGAUUGCGUUAUCUAAGUGUACAAUCGCGAUAUGCGCUUACUUCUGAACCAAAUACUUAAAUAUAACGUUAUACAGUGGAAAUUCCGAGCAGUUGGCCUUGUUGCGGUCAAAUGGACGCCACUUGUUGGUUCAUCCUGAAAACACACCGUUGGCCAUGCUGAAAAGCAUCAAUCAUGUUUUGCCGCAGUUACAGACAUUGGUGUAUAAGAAUAUUGAAGACAUACAACAAUACCAAUCUGGUCUUUUCAAAAGACAAAAACCCAGUUCAGGAUGUGCCAGGCACGGGGCAAUAGCAGCAGAGGUGGUGCCAUUUCCACCCAAACGAUUUACUCUGCGACCGAGGUGAACAAAAACGAUUGGUUUAACGCCGGUACUCCUCUGUCGUAAUCGCCUCACCCGCAUCACCAACCACACCGACAGAUAUCAAAUACCUAUACCAGAGCCUAAGCAACUGGUCUCCAACCAGCCCUACAUGUAAGGACACUGUUGCAAUUAAAAGCAGCGAAGGUAAUCUUACAGUCUAUGCAACAUGCACUGGUCGUCGUCCCCCGUUCUUAUCGUAUUGUUGCUCUCAUUAUUCGCGUUUUCUUUAUUAUUGUUUGUAAUAUAUUUCAGCGUGUUAUUAUUAUUUAUUAUUUAUUAUUCCUGUACCAAUUAAGAUUAUGUUUUGACUAGAUCGACCAUCGACAACGAGAUUCUAACACUAAACACCAAUAUAUUCUAUUGUGAUUGGGUGUUUUCUUCCUAUAAAUAGUAUGUGUACAUAGUACAGACAUGAUAAAAUAUGAUAUGUACAAACAAAAAUAAUAUUUUUUUUUAUUUUUUUUUAUUGA